rnacentral:rRNA from 1 species
AAUGGGGGAAACCCUGAUGCAGCGACGCCGCGUGAGCGAUGAAGCCCUUCGGGGUGUAAAGCUCUUUCGACAGGAACGAUUAUGACGGUACCUGAAGAAGAAGCUGCGGCUAACUACGUGCCAGCAGCCGCGGUAAUACGUAGGCAGCAAGCGUUGUUCGGAAUUACUGGGCGUAAAGAGUGUGUAGGUGGUGCUCUAAGUUCGAUGUGAAAUCUCCCGGCUUAACCGGGAGGGUGCAUUAAAUACUGGAGUGCUCGAGGGUGGGAGAGGUAAGCGGAAUUCCUGGUGUAGCGGUGAAAUGCGUAGAUAUCAGGAGGAACACCUGUGGUGUAGACAGCUUACUGGACCAUUUCUGACACUGAGACACGAAAGCGUGGGUAGCAAA